rnacentral:rRNA from 1 species
CACGACUACGAGUUUGAUCCUGGCUCAGAACGAACGCUGGCGGCAUGCCUAACACAUGCAAGUCGAACGAAGCCUUCGGGCUUAGUGGCGCACGGGUGCGUAACGCGUGGGAAUCUGCCCCUUGGUUCGGAACAACAGUUAGAAAUGACUGCUAAUACCGGAUAACGACGAAAGUCCAAAGAUUUAUCGCCGAGGGAUGAGCCCGCGUAAGAUUAGGUAGUUGGUGGGGUAAUGGCCUACCAAGCCGACGAUCUUUAGCUGGUCUGAGAGGAUGAUCAGCCACACUGGGACUGAGACACGGCCCAGACUCCUACGGGAGGCAGCAGUGGGGAAUAUUGGACAAUGGGCGAAAGCCUGAUCCAGCAAUGCCGCGUGAGUGAUGAAGGCCUUAGGGUUGUAAAGCUCUUUUACCAGGGAUGAUAAUGACAGUACCUGGAGAAUAAGCUCCGGCUAACUCCGUG